AGGCGUGAUGACGAGGCACUACGGUGCUGAAGCGACAAAUGCCCUGCUUCCAGGAAAAGCCUCUAAGCAUCAGGUAACAUCAAAUCGUACCCCAAACCGACACAGGUGGUCAGGUAGAGAAUACCAAGGCGCUUGAGAGAACUCGGGUGAAGGAACUAGGCAAAAUGGUGCCGUAACUUCGGGAGAAGGCACGCUGAUAUGUAGGUGAAGCGACUUGCUCGUGGAGCUGAAAUCAGUCGAAGAUACCAGCUGGCUGCAACUGUUUAUUAAAAACACAGCACUGUGCAAACACGAAAGUGGACGUAUACGGUGUGACGCCUGCCCGGUGCCGGAAGGUUAAUUGAUGGGGUUAGCGGUAACGCGAAGCUCUUGAUCGAAGCCCCGGUAAACGGCGGCCGUAACUAUAACGGUCCUAAGGUAGCGAAAUUCCUUGUCGGGUAAGUUCCGACCUGCACGAAUGGCGUAAUGAUGGCCAGGCUGUCUCCACCCGAGACUCAGUGAAAUUGAACUCGCUGUGAAGAUGCAGUGUACCCGCGGCAAGACGGAAAGACCCCGUGAACCUUUACUAUAGCUUGACACUGAACAUUGAGCCUUGAUGUGUAGGAUAGGUGGGAGGCUUUGAAGUGUGGACGCCAGUCUGCAUGGAGCCGACCUUGAAAUACCACCCUUUAAUGUUUGAUGUUCUAACGUUGGCCCGUAAUCCGGGUUGCGGACAGUGUCUGGUGGGUAGUUUGACUGGGGCGGUCUCCUCCUAAAGAGUAACGGAGGAGCACGAAGGUUGGCUAAUCCUGGUCGGACAUCAGGAGGUUAGUGCAAUGGCAUAAGCCAGCUUGACUGCGAGCGUGACGGCGCGAGCAGGUGCGAAAGCAGGUCAUAGUGAUCCGGUGGUUCUGAAUGGAAGGGCCAUCGCUCAACGGAUAAAAGGUACUCCGGGGAUAACAGGCUGAUACCGCCCAAGAGUUCAUAUCGACGGCGGUGUUUGGCACCUCGAUGUCGGCUCAUCACAUCCUGGGGCUGAAGUAGGUCCCAAGGGUAUGGCUGUUCGCCAUUUAAAGUGGUACGCGAGCUGGGUUUAGAACGUCGUGAGACAGUUCGGUCCCUAUCUGCCGUGGGCGCUGGAGAACUGAGGGGGGCUGCUCCUAGUACGAGAGGACCGGAGUGGACGCAUCACUGGUGUUCGGGUUGUCAUGCCAAUGGCACUGCCCGGUAGCUAAAUGCGGAAGAGAUAAGUGCUGAAAGCAUCUAAGCACGAAACUUGCCCCGAGAUGAGUUCUCCCUGACUCCUUGAGAGUCCUGAAGGAACGUUGAAGACGACGACGUUGAUAGGCCGGGUGUGUAAGCGCAGCGAUGCGUUGAGCUAACCGGUACUAAUGAACCGUGAGG
rnacentral:rRNA from 1 species